rnacentral:rRNA from 1 species
AACGAACGCUGGCGGCAUGCCUAACACAUGCCAGUCGAACGAGACCUUCGGGCCUAGUGGCGCACGGGUGCGUAACGCGUGGGAACCUGCCCUUAGGUUCGGAAUAACUCCCCGAAAGGGGUCCUAAUACCGGAUAAUGUCUUCGGACCAAAGAUUUAUCGCCUUUGGAUGGGCCUGCGUUGGAUUAGCUAGUUGGUAGGGUAAAAGCCUACCAAGGCGACGAUCCAUAGCUGGUCGGAGAGGAUGAUCAGCCACACUGGGACUGAGACACGGCCCAGACUCCUACGGGAGGCAGCAGUGGGGAAUAUUGGACAAUGGGCGAAAGCCUGAUACAGCAAUGCCGCGUGAGUGAUGAAGGCCUUAGGGUUGUAAAGCUCUUUUACCCGGGAUGAUAAUGACAGUACCGGGAGAAUAAGCACCGGCUAACUCCGUG